AUCCUGAUAGCUCAGUUGGUUAGAGCAUGGUGCUGAUGACACCAAGGUUGCAGGGUCAAUCCCUGCAGGGGACA